rnacentral:lncRNA from 1 species
GAGUCUCGCUCUGUUGCCCAGGCUGGAGUGCAGUGGCGUGACCUCGGCUCACUGCAACCUCUGCCUCCCAGGUUCAAGCAGUUCUCCUGCCCCAGCCUCCUGAGUAGCUGGGAUUACAGGCACACUUUUCGCUGGUUUACACCCCGCCACUCCUGAGCACCGCACACCGGCUUCCUCCCAGUCCCUCAUCUGAGAACUCAUGAAGCCACUUGGAAUCCCUCUCUGCUUUGCCUGGCUCAUUCCAUGUCAAUUUCAGAUCUUCACUUCAGGCUCCGGUAGAUUGCAAAUGACCUGCUUUCUUUCUGUUCCCGGGCGUUUGGACCCCUGUCUUGGACCGCUGUCGGAUAGUAAAUCCCAAGUAAGGUACCUGCCGUCGGCAGAUUUGAGCUUUCUUCUUGGACACCUAAUACCCAGAGUCCUCCAGGCUCCGGUAGAUUGCAAAUGACCUGCUUUCUUUCUGUUCCCGGGCGGCAUCGGACCCGUCGGAGAGUAAAUCCCAAGUAAGGUACCUGCCGUUGGCAGAUUUGAGCUUUCUUCUUGGACACCUAAUACCCACAGUCCUCCAGGCUCCGGUAGAUUGCAAAUGACCUGCUUUCUUUCUGUUCCCGGGUGGCAUCGACCCGUCGGAGAGUAAAUCCCAAGUAAGGUACCUGCCGUUGGCAGAUUUGAGCUUUCUUCUUGGACACCUAAUACCCACAGUCCUCCAGUAAAUCCCAAGCAAGGUACCUGCCGUCAGCAGAUUUGAGCUUUCUUCUUGGACACCUAAUACCCACAGUCCUCCAGGCUCCGGUAGAUUGCAAAUGACCUGCUUUCUUUCUGUUCCCGGGCUGCGUUCGGACCCCUGUCGGAUAGUAACUCCCAAGUAAGGUACCUGCCGUCGGCAGAUUGGAGCUUUCUUCUUGGAGACCUAAUACCCACAGUCCUCCAGGCUCCGGUAGAUUGCAAAUGACCUGCUUUCUUUCUGUUCCCGGGCUGCGUUCGGACCCCUGUCGGAGAGUAAAUCCGAAGUAAGAAAAACAAACAAAGACAUGGAUUUACUGUGCAUAUUAGCAGAUCCAUACUGGAAAAUGCAUGGAGGUUUCAUAUACACCACUUACAGUUUUCAGCUCCUCAGUAGUGACAAAGCCAUACCCAUCAUUGUCGAUUCGAUCAACAAUCUUCCCUAGCCUCUCCUUGCUCUCGUCCGGGGUGAGCUCGUCGAAGUUCUUGGAGUCCUCCUUGCCCAGGAAGGCCUCGUGGUCGUACUGGAAGCUCUGGUUGUCCUCAGGGGGCCGCUCGCCCAGCUCCGAGUCGGGCCGCACCACGCGCUCUUUGCGCACCGUGGGCUUGGCCCGCAGAACCCGCGGCGCCAGCACCAGCGCCAGCAGCAGCCCCAGGGCUAACCCCAGGCGGCCACCGCGCGCCAUCGUCCCGAGGAGAGGGCGGCCGGGAGGGAGACGCUGAGCGAGCGACAACAGCGGCAGCUCGGGAAUGGGGGCUCGGAGCGCGGCGGCCAAGUUUUAUGUUAUGUAUAUUUUACAAGUAAAAAAAUUUUUUCACCUCAGCCUGAACUGAACACUAGCUGACAGACGUUUUGAUUUCUUUGACCAUCACGGAAUCGUGGCCAAGCGCGGUGGCUCACAUCUGUAAUCCCAACACUUUGGGAGGUCAAGAUGGGCGGAUUGCUUGAAUCCAGGUGUUUGAGAUCAGCCUGGGCAACAUGACAAAACCCUGUUUCUAGUAAAAAUACAAAAAUUAACCAGGCUCAAGCCAUGACCAUGCACCAUUGCACUCCAGCCUAGGCGACAGAGCAGGACCCUG